rnacentral:rRNA from 1 species
GACGAACGCUGGCGGCGUGCCUAAUACAUGCAAGUCGAACGCAGUGGGGACGGGUGAGUAACACGUGGGUAACCUCCCAUCAGAGGGGAUAACAUUUGGCAACUGGUGCAUAAUCGAUACUGAUUGAUGGACCCGCGGUGCAUUAGCUAGUUGGUGCGGAAACGGCUCAACAAGGACACGAUGCUUAGCCGACCUGAGAGGGUGAUCCGCCACACUGGUACUGAGACACGGCCCAGACUCCUACGGGAGGCAGCAGUGGGGAAUCUUCGGCAAUGGGCGAAAGUCUGACCGAGCAACGCCGCGUGAAUGAAGAAGGUUUUCGGAUCGUAAAGCUCUGUUGUUAGAGAAGCGGUAUCUAACCAGAAAGCCACGGCUAACUACGUGCCAGCCGCCGCGGUAAUAC